AACCUUUUGAAUCCUUGCCGAGAUUUUGUCAGACACAAUACCAUCAGGACUGGUGAGACUCUCAAGAGAGUUGAAGCG
rnacentral:pre_miRNA from 1 species